AACGAACGCUGGCGGCGUGGAUAAGACAUGCAAGUCGAACGGGAACAAGUGGAUAGCAAUAUUUGCUUGUUCUAGUGGCGAAAGGGUGCGUAACACGUAGCUAUCUACCUUGAAGUGGGGGAUAAUCCCGCGAAAGCGGGACUAAUACCGCAUGUGAUCGAGAGAUCAAAGUUGGGGAUCGUAAGACCUGACGCUUUAAGAUGAGGCUGCGGCCUAUCAGGUAGUUGGCGGGGUAAUGGCCCACCAAGCCUAAGACGGGUAGCUGGUCUGAGAGGACGACCAGCCACACUGGAACUGAGACACGGUCCAGACACCUACGGGUGGCUG
rnacentral:rRNA from 1 species